rnacentral:rRNA from 1 species
AUUGAACGCUGGCGGCAGGCCUAACACAUGCAAGUCGAGCGGAUGAAGGGAGCUUGCUCCUGGAUUCAGCGGCGGACGGGUGAGUAAUGCCUAGGAAUCUGCCUGGUAGUGGGGGAUAACGUCCGGAAACGGGCGCUAAUACCGCAUACGUCCUGAGGGAGAAAGUGGGGGAUCUUCGGACCUCACGCUAUCAGAUGAGUCUAGGUCGGAUUAGCUAGUUGGUGGGGUAAAGGCCUACCAAGGCGACGAUCCGUAACUGGUCUGAGAGGAUGAUCAGUCACACUGGAACUGAGACACGGUCCAGACUCCUACGGGAGGCAGCAGUGGGGAAUAUUGGACAAAGGGCGAAAGCCUGAUCCAGCCAUGCCGCGUGUGUGAAGAAGGUCUUCGGAUUGUAAAGCACUUUAAGUUGGGAGGAAGGGCAGUAAGUUAAUACCUUGCUGUUUUGACGUUACCAACAGAAUAAGCACCGGCUAACUUCGUG